rnacentral:rRNA from 1 species
GCAGCCGCGGUAAUUCCAGCUCCAAUAGCGUAUACUAAAGUUGUUGCGGUUAAAAAGCUCGUAGUUGGAUCUUGGAAUGUGUUCAAGCGGGUCAGCUUCUGGCUGUGCGCUGCUUGACGUGUUCUUCUAUUUGGUUUUGGUGCGGUGCGCUUAACUGCGUGUCGCUCCCGGCCGAAACGUUUACCUUGAAAAAAUUAGAGUGUUCAAAGCAGACCUGUUUGAGUCUGAAUAUUCGUGCAUGGAAUAAUGAAAUAUGAAUUCGGUUCUAUUUUGUUGGUUUUCGGAACUCGAGUUAAUGAUCAAGAGGGACAGACGGGGGCAUUCGUACUCUGCCGUUAGAGGUGAAAUUCUUGGAUCGGCGGAAGACGCGCAACUGCGAAAGCAUUUGCCAAGAAUGUUUUCUUUAAUCAAGAACGAUAGUCGGAGGUUCGAAGACGAUCAGAUACCGUCCUAGUUUCGACUGUAAACUAUGCCAGCUAACGAUCAGACAGAGUUCUCUACGACUUGUCUGGCAGUUUCCGGGAAACCAAAGCGUUUGGGUUCCGGGGGAAGUAUGGUUGCAAAGCUGAAACUUAAAGGAAUUGACGGAAGGGCACCGCCAGGAGUGGAGCCUGCGGCUUAAUUUGACUCAACACGGGGAAACUCACCCGGCCCGGACACAGUGAGGAUUGACAGAUUGAGAGUUCUUUCUUGAUUCUGUGGGUGGUGGUGCAUGGCCGUUCUUAGUUGGUGGAGCGAUUUGUCUGGUUAAUUCCGAUAACGAACGAGACUCUGGCAUGUUAAAUAGUCGCGGAAGUGCGUAUGCACUUGCCGAAUUGACUUCUUAGAGGGACUAGUGAUUUUAAUUCACACGAGAUUGAGCAAUAACAGGUCUGUG